AUACGGAGGAUGCGAGCGUUAUCCGGAUUUAUUAGGUUUAAAGGGUGUGUAGGCGGUAUUUUAAGUCAGUGGUGAAAUCUUUCAGCUUAACUGAGAAACUGCCAUUGAUACUGGAAUACUUGAGUAUAGUUGAGGUAGGCGGAAUAUGUAAUGUAGCGGUGAGAUGCAUAGAUAUUACAUAGAACACCGAUUGCGAAGGCAGCUUACUAAACUAUUACUGACGCUGAUGCACGAAAGCGUGGGGAGCGAACAGGAUUAGAAACCCUUGUAGUCC
rnacentral:rRNA from 1 species